rnacentral:rRNA from 1 species
AGGGUUUGAUCCUGGCUCAGAUUGAACGCUGGCGGAAUGCUUUACACAUGCAAGUCGAGCGGCAGCGCGGGGGCAACCCUGGCGGCGAGCGGCGAACGGGUGAGUAAUGUAUCGGAACGUACCCAGUCGUGGGGGAUAACUAUCCGAAAGGAUAGCUAAUACCGCAUACGUCCUGAGGGAGAAAGCGGGGGACCGUAAGGCCUCGCGCGAUUGGAGCGGCCGAUAUCGGAUUAGCUAGUUGGUGAGGUAAAGGCUCACCAAGGCGACGAUCCGUAGCUGGUCUGAGAGGACGACCAGCCACACUGGAACUGAGACACGGUCCAGACUCCUACGGGAGGCAGCAGUGGGGAAUUUUGGACAAUGGGGGCAACCCUGAUCCAGCCAUUCCGCGUGAGUGAAGAAGGCCUUCGGGUUGUAAAGCUCUUUCAGCAGGAACGAAACGGUGGCUCCUAAUACGAGUUACUAAUGACGGUACCUGAAGAAGAAGCACCGGCUAACUACGUGCCAGCAGCCGCGGUAAUACGUAGGGUGCGAGCGUUAAUCGGAAUUACUGGGCGUAAAGCGUGCGCAGGCGGUUAUAUAAGACAGAUGUGAAAUCCCCGGGCUUAACCUGGGAACUGCGUUUGUGAC